GUUUGAUCCUGGCUCAGGAUGAACGCUGGCGGCGUGCCUAAUACAUGCAAGUCGAACGAGGCGCUUUUUGUAGCAAUACGAGGAGCGUCCUAGUGGCGAACGGGUGAGUAACGCGUGGGUGACCUGCCCCAAAGUGUGGGAUAACAGUCCGAAAGGAUUGCUAAUACCGCAUGUGGUCGCUGAGUUUAGAAGUUAGCGACUAAAGCAGCAAUGCGCUUUGGGAGGGACCUGCGUCCCAUCAGCUAGUUGGUAAGGUAACGGCUUACCAAGGCGACGACGGGUAGGGGACCUGAGAGGGUGGCCCCCCACAAUGGAACUGAAACACGGUCCAUACACCUACGGGUGGCAGCAGUAGGGAAUAUUGCACAAUGGGCGAAAGCCUGAUGCAGCAACGCCGCGUGCGCGAAGAAGGUCUUCGGAUCGUAAAGCGCUUUUCUGGGAGAUGAGAAAGGACAGUAUCCCAGGAAUAAGUCUCGGCUAACUACGUGCCAGCAGCCGCGGUAACACGUAGGAGGCGAGCGUUAUCCGGAUUCACUGGGCGUAAAGCGCGUGCAGGCGGUUCGGUAAGUUGGGCGUGAAAUCUCCCGGCUCAACUGGGAGAGGUCGUUCAAUACUACCGGACUUGAGAGCGAUAGAGGAAAAUGGAAUUCCCGGUGUAGUGGUGAAAUGCGUAGAUAUCGGGAGGAACACCAGUGGCGAAAGCGAUUUUCUGGAUCGUUUCUGACGCUCAGACGCGAAAGCUAGGGUAGCAAACGGGAUUAGAGACCCCGGUAGUCCUAGCCGUAAACGAUGUGAACUUGGCGUCGGUGGCUUAAACUCCAUCGGUGCCGAAGCCAACGCGAUAAGUUCACCGCCUGGGGACUACGACCGCAAGGUUAAAACUCAAAGGAAUUGACGGGGGCCCGCACAAGCAGCGGAGCGUGUGGUUUAAUUCGAUGCUACACGAAGACCUUACUCGGGUUUGACAUACAG
rnacentral:rRNA from 1 species